rnacentral:rRNA from 1 species
GACGAACGCUGGCGGCACGCCUAACACAUGCAAGUCGAACGGAGAACCUUCGGGUUCUUAGUGGCGGACGGGUGAGUAACACGUGAGCAACCUGCCUCUCAGAGGGGGAUAACGUUUGAAACGAACGCUAAUACCGCAUAACGUAUUUGGUCACAUGGCCUUAAUACCAAAGGAGCAAUCCGCUGAGAGAUGGGCUCGCGUCCGAUUAGAUAGUUGGCGGGGUAACGGCCCACCAAGUCGACGAUCGGUAGCCGGACUGAGAGGUUGAACGGCCACAUUGGGACUGAGACACGGCCCAG